UUGAUUUUAAGUUAUUUGUGAACGUACUACUAACUAACAAAAAAAUUUAUAAUCAAAAAAAAAUUAAAUCA
rnacentral:misc_RNA from 1 species